rnacentral:rRNA from 1 species
GGCUUGAUGCUUGGUAAUUUCUUGUUGUUAAGUUGUGAAGUUUUAUUUUGGUUUAGUUAGAGUAUUAUUUUUGUUGUUGUAUUUAUGUUGAUUUGAUUUUUUUAUGGAUAGUUUAUUUGUACCGUGGGGGGUAAGGGUUUAGAGAAUGUUUUUGGAAGUUGAUUUUUUUUGUUGUACCUUGUGUAUCAGGGUUUAUUAAAUUUUAUUAUUUAUUUUUUAUUUCCCGAUAUUGAAAGAGUUAAUGACUUAUUUUAGUUAUCGUUUUAUUGAUAUUAGGUAUAAGUUGUUGGUAGUGAGAUGUUAUUCGUUUUCGUUGGUUUCUGGUUUUUCAAGAAAUGAAUUUAAUUCAUGUAUGGUUAUUUACUUUUUAUUGAUUUAUUGGUAUGUUUGUUUUGUUUUUGUUAAUAGUAAGGGGGUUUAGCUCUUUAUUUUAUUUUUAUAAUUUUGAUGUUUUAUUUGAGUUUUGUGGAUUUUAUAGUGAUUUUCGGUUUGAUUAUGUUAGAAUUUUAUUUGUUGUUGUUGUUUAUUUUUUGUUUGUUUAAUUGUUUUAUUGGAAUGUUUUUUUUAUUUUGGUCUUGGUUAGUAAUUAUGGUGGAAUUAGUAUAUUUUUGUUUUAUUGUUUUGUUUUGGUGUUAGUUGUUAAAUUUUUUUGAGGAAUUCGGCAAAUUUUAUAUCCGCCUGUUUAACAAAAACAUCUCUUCUUGUAAGUUUUUGAGGUAUGGCCUGCCCGCUGAUUUUAUUGAAGGGCCGCGGUAUAUUGACCGUGCAAAGGUAGCAUAAUCAUUUGUUCUUUAAUUGUGAUCUGGUAUGAAUGGCUUGACGAGAUAUUAGCUGUCUUAUUUAUAUUUGUUAGAAUUUGGUUUCUGAGUUAAAAUUCUUAGAUGUUUUUAUGGGACGAGAAGACCCUAUAGAGUUUUACAUUUGUGUCUUGUUGUUAUUCUGUUUGUUGUUUUCUUAUUGGGUUGCAUUUGUUUUGUUGGGGUGAUGGGAAGAAUUUAUUUAACUCUUCUUUGUUUAAGGGAUGUUAUAUUGAUUUAUAUUUUUUUGAUCCAUUUAUGUUGAUUAUUAGAUUAAAUUACCUUAGGGAUAACAGCGUUAUCUUCCUUGAGAGUUCUUAUUGACAGGAGGGAUUGCGACCUCGAUGUUGGAUUAAGGUGAAUUUCUGGUGUAGAGGCUGGAGUUAUAGUUGAUUGGGUCUGUUCGACCUUUAAAAUCUUACAUGAUCUGAGUUCAGACCGGCGUGAGCCAGGUUGGUUUCUAUCUAUAAAUUUUGUUCUGCUUUAGUACGAGAGGACCAGGCAUGUUGAAAUAAUUUUGUUGGGUAUCUGAUUUUUAUUAAUUGCUAUUUUGGCAGAUAAGUGCAUUGGAUUUAGAAUCUAUUAA